AUGCAGCAGAGAUGGCGCUGCUCCGUUGAGGUUGAGCUGAUUGGCAGCACUGCCUACCGGUCACCGCGUUCUCCAUCAGCUAGGAAAGCCCAUCGGUGGAUUUGGAAAGCUAAAAUCCCCUUUAAGAUCAAAAUAUUUAUGUGGCAGUUGUUUCAGGACGCGGUUCUGAGCAGAGACGUUAUGAAACAUCGAAAGUGGCCGGGAAAUGCUAAGUGUCCGUUCUGUGCUGCUCGUGAGACGGCACAACAUCUUUUCUUCCUCUGCCCUGUUGCUAGGGUGAUCUGGCGAUCGGUGGUGGCGGUCCUGGGCACUGACUUAUGUCCCAAUAACCUUUGGCAAUAG
rnacentral:rRNA from 1 species